UUUAAUAGUUAAAGUAAUUUAAAUUAUUCAGAAAAGUGUGUUCUCGGAAGCUGAUAGGCUGAGAUAUAGAGGCACCUCCCUCUGGUCCUCCCUGUCUGUCUCCUUAUAGGUGGGUCCUGCAGCCUCUCCUCUCCUCACACUCCAACCCUGCUCCUCUCUCAGCUGGACAGUAAGGGCCGUUCACACCACACACUGACAACAUGCUGGGGACACUCUGCACUCUCAUCACUGCUCUAGCAUGUGUCAGUGGUGUGACUGUGGUGACACAGAAGCCUCCUGUUGUGACGGUGAGGAAAGGAGACACGGCAACUAUGGACUGUAACCUGGGGACUGUUCAGAAUAGUGCUGCUCGUUGGUAUAAACAGGUUCCAGGAGGAGUUACUCAGUUUGUUUUAUUUUUCUACCACCCUAAUAGUGCUCCUACCUAUGGCUCUGGUUUCUCCUCUCCUAAAUUCACAUCUAAUCAUCAGUCUAAAUCAGAUUAUCGUUUGAUUAUUAACACUGUGGAGGAGACAGACUCAGCAGUGUAUUACUGUCAUACAUAUGAUGACUCUGUUAAAGAGAACGUAUCACAGUGAUAUACACCAUAACAAAAACCUCCUCACCAAACACACUCACUUCUGCUUUCAGAUGUUCUGAAUAUAGACACUAACUGAAUGUCAAGUCAUCCUGAACCAGUGUGUCUGCAGGAGGAGAACAUUCCAUGCUUGUGUUUAACACAAAACCCUUCACACAUUUAGUAGAAUGUUGUCAUUAACAAUUACACCUAGUUGUCACAAAGCAUGAAUGAUAAAGUGAUAUUCCAGAAGGUUCAGUCCUAACAGAAGACUCCAUGUAUCAGAUAACCUCCAUGAUAGUCAGUCUGUAAUCACAGUGAGGAAAGGAGAGAUGGCCACUAUGGACUGUAACCUGGGAACUGUUGAUAAUAGAGAUGGCCACUAAGGACUGUAACAUGGGGACUGUUGAUAAUAGACACGGCCACUAUGGACUGUAACCUGGGAACUGUUGAUAAUAGUGUUCGUUGGUAUAAACAGGUUCAAGGAGGAGUUCCUCAGUAUGUUUUACAGUGGUACUACUAUAAAUGGACCUCUGUAAAAUAUGGUUCUGGUUUCUCCUCUCCCUAAAUUCACAUCUAAUCAUUAGUCUAUAUCUGAUUAUAUUUUGAUUAUUAAUCAUGUGGAGGAGGAAGACCCAGCAGUGUAUUACUGUAAAACAAAAGACUACUCUGUUGGCGAGUGGGCAUCACAGUGACAUACACUAUGACAAAAACCUCCUCCCCAAAUACACUCACUUCUGCUUCGUGGUAGAGGGGUGAACUCUAAGAAACAGCAGUUGGUCAGUGAUUAUUAUAACAAUAAAUACAUGACACAAUGGGAGAUCUGGAAAUGGAGGAACCAUGUCAACAAGAUUAUAAAACGAUUGUGAAAAGAGAUUUAGCCAUUCUUGACGUAAUCAUCAUCAUCAUCAUAUCAUCAUCAUCAUCAUCAUCAACAUCAUCACCACCAUCAGGUCAAUACUGCAUCAUAUUGAUAGAGCUUUAACUGAUGGAUUCAAAAGGACCAGACACCAACAGCAGAAUAUGAUGCUACACUCUAUACUGUUACUUCAUAGAGAGGAACUCUAGAAAAGCCUGAGAUGUUAGUAGUGAGAGUGAAGCUCUGUCUGAAUGGGAUGUUUCAGUUCCUGUCCUCUCAGUAGAGAGAGUGAAGCUCUGUCUGAAUGGGAUGUUUCAGUUCCUGUCCUCUCAGUAGUGAGAGUGAAGCUCUGUCUGAAUGGGAUGUUUCAGUUCCUGUCCUCUCAGUAGUGAGAGUGAAGCUCUGUCUGAAUGGGAUGUUUCAGUUCCUGUCCUCUCAGUAGAGAGUGAAGCUCUGUCUGAAUGGGAUGUUUCAGUUCCUGUCCUCUCAGUAGUGAGAGUGAAGCUCUAUCUUAAUGGGAUGUUUCAGUUCCUGUCCUCUCAGUAGUGAGAGUGAAGUUCUGUCUGAAUGGGAUGUUUCAGUUCCUGUCCUCUCAGUAGAGAGAGUGAAGCUCUGUCUGAAUGGGAUGUUUCAGUUCCUGUCCUCUCAGUAGUGAGAGUGAAGUUCUGUCUGAAUGGGAUGUUUCAGUUCAUGUCCUCUCAGUAGAGAGAGUGAAGCUCUGUCUUAAUGGGAUGGUUCAGUUCCUGUCCUCUCAGUAGUGAGAGUGAAGCUCUGUCUGAAUGGGAUGUUUCAGUUCCUGUCCUCUCAGUAGAGAGAGUGAAGCUCUGUCUUAAUGGGAUGUUUCAGGUCCUGUCCUCUCAGUAGAGAGAGUGAAGCUCUGUCUGGGUGGGAUGUUUCAGUUCCUGUCCUCUCAGUAGAGAGAGUGAAGCUCUGUCUUAAUGGGAUGUUUCAGUUCCUGUCCUCUCAGUAGAGAGUGAGGAGGUUAUUGUACGGCUGUGUAAACAAACUGAAUCACUGUGGUAUUCGGACAAGGAACCAAGCUCAUUGUUACUGAUGGAGAUCUGGCUACACCUGCUGUGACUCUGUUCCCUCCAUCCACUGAAGACCUCAAGUCCAGCAGAGCAACACUGGUGUGUCUGACUAGUAACCUGUCUCAGAGAUCCAAGGGGUUGGCAGAUGUCAGCUGGAUGUCUAGCGGUGAAUCAGUGACAGAAGAUGUUUCUACCAGCCCUGCUGAGCAGCAACCAGACAACACCUUCAGGAUCAGCAGCUAUCUGACCAUUCAGACUGCAGACUGGGACAAGGACGUGGUGUUCACAUGUAAAGUGUCGUUGGGGUCAACAUUCUCUGAGAAAGAGAUCAGAAAGACUAGUUGCAGUCUGUAAAUCAAUAGUUUCAGACAAUCAAUACAACUGGUAGUUUGUUAAUGCUUCAGAAUGAGUGCAGCUGUUAUUUCAUUAGAACUGUUAAGUGAUGUGUUGAUCUUUGCUGUUAAAUAUAGAAGUUAAAAUCCUAACAACAUGGAUGGUAUUGGGCUGAAGUCUGAAUGCAGCAGUGAAUAGUAUGACAAUAACCAAUGUAAUGUCAAAUAGUUGUUGAGGGUUGUUUCUCAUCACAAGUUACUAUUGAUGCAUUCACUGUACCAGCAUCAUGUUCUCUAGAACAUAACAUCUGAAACACUGUCAUGAUGACUAGAUCUCUCUACUAUUGUGAAAUGAGUUGAAUUACUAAUGAUUAAUAGAGGAAUAGUUAAAGCUUUGCUGUAUUGUGGAUAUUCAAUAAAGAACAUUCUAAAGAACAAGUGUUUGUAUUAGAGCAUGUUGAUGAACAUCAGUGUUAGCAGCUCUACAUGAUUGAAUCUGGAUAAUGACUGUUUAAAUUGAACCAAGACA